AACGAACGCUGGCGGCGCGCCUAACACAUGCAAGUCGAACGAGAAUCCGGGGCAACCCGGUAGUAAAGUGGCAAACGGGUGAGGAAUACAUGGGUAACCUACCCUUGAGAAGGGAAUAACCCGCCGAAAGGUGAGCUAAUACCCUAUACGCUAUCUUUUUUUCGAAAAGGAUAGGAAAGCCGGGUCGAGGACCUGGUACUCAAGGAGGGGCUCAUGUCCUAUCAGCUUGUUGGUGGGGUAACGGCCUACCAAGGCUACGACGGGUAGCUGGUCUGAGAGGAUGAUCAGCCACACUGGCACUGAGAUACGGGCCAGACUCCUACGGGAGGCAGCAGUGAGGAAUAUUGCGCAAUGGGCGAAAGCCUGACGCAGCGACGCCGCGUGGGGGAUGAAGGUUUUCGGAUUGUAAACCCCUUUCAUGAGGAAAGAUAAAGUGGGUAACCACUUAGACGGUACCUCAAGAAGAAGCCACGGCUAACUUCGUGCCAGCAGCCGCGGUAAAGUC
rnacentral:rRNA from 1 species